AGAGUUUGAUCCUGGCUCAGAGCGAACGUUGGCGGCGUGGAUGAGGCAUGCAAGUCGAACGUGAAAGGCUUCGGCCGAGUAAAGUGGCGAAAGGGUGAGUAGCACGUAAUCAACCUGCCCUCGAGACGGGGACGACCGCUGGAAACGGCGGCUAAUACCCGAUGUCGAUUCUUUACCACAUGGUGUUGGAUCGAAACGGUUGGGAUCCUACGGGACCUUCUGCUCGGGGAGGGGAUUGCGGCCUAUCAGCUAGUUGGUGAGGUAACGGCUCACCAAGGCGAUGACGGGUAGCCGGUCUGAGAGGAUGGUCGGCCACACUGGGACUGAGACACUGCCCAGACUCCUACGGAAGGCUGCAGUCGAGAAUCUUCCGCAAUGGACGCAAGUCUGACGGAGCGACGCCGCGUGGAGGAUGAAGGCCCUCGGGUUGUAAACUCCUGUCAGGGUUCAAAGAAUGGGUGGCGGUGAACAAUCGCCAUCUUGACACUAGGCCUAAAGGAAGCACCGGCUAACUCUGUGCCAGCAGCCGCGGUAAGACAGAGGGUGCAAACGUUGCUCGGAAUCACUGGGCAUAAAGCGCACGUAGGCGGCUGUGUAAGUGCGGUGUGAAAGCCCCCGGCCCAACCGGGGAAUUGCUCCGCAUACUGCGCAGCUAGAGCUUGAGAGGGGAGAGUGGAACUCCUGGUGGAGCGGUGGAACGCGUAGAUAUCAGGAGGAACGCCGGAGGUGAAGACGACUCUCUGGCUCAAUGCUGACGCUGAGGUGCGAAAGCUAGGGGAGCAAACGGGAUUAGAUACCCCGGGUAGUCCUAGCCCUAAACGAUGGGGCACUAGCUAGGGGGGAUUCCUAUGUCCUCUCUGGCGAAGCAAAUGUAUUAAGUGCCCCGCCUGGGGGAGUACGGUCGCAAGGCUAAAACUCAAAGGAAUUUGACGG
rnacentral:rRNA from 1 species